rnacentral:lncRNA from 1 species
GGGUUUGUUUGUUACUGGUAGUAUCUAAGAUAAAUCCUGGUGUACUCCUAGGUGAAUUUUUGACAGUUGAUGUUGGUUGUGUGGAUGGAUUAUGAACAGUUAUUUGUUUUCUAGAAGGGAUCUGGACAGAUGAUGAUUGUUGAGUAAAAGUAUAGACAAAUGACUUUGGUGGUUGUGUGGUAGAAGUACGGGCAGAUGGUAGUUGUCUGGCAGAGGUGAACACGGCUUGCUGGGAGGAGGUGUUGGCUAUUGGUGUUGGUUGUUUGGUGUUGUAGGCAAGUGGUUGUCCAGCAGAAGUAUGUGCUUCUGGUUUUUCAGAAGAGGUAUAGACAGCUGGUGUUGGUUGUCCAGCAGUGACUUUGGCAGGUGAUAUUGAUUGUCCAGAAAAAGUGUCGCUGAAUUGUGUUGGUUGACCCAAAGGAUUCCCUGUUGUGUUUUGAGAAUUAGCCAAUACCUGUGACAUUGAUGAUGUGAAUAAGGUAGGCUGUGACUGCUUCUCUGUUGUAAUUGUCUCUGUCUUUGAAAAAAAUGUAUUGUUCAGGUGUCCACAAAACAAAAUUAAGAUGAAAUAUUUGGGAUCCAUUUCAGAAUAUUUCCUCGUUAUCUAUAGCGGCUGUUAACUUCUUUUGCAGAAUGCUAAAUUCUUGUUCUAACUGGACAUUUUGGUGAUUUG